GAGGGUGUAGCUCAGUGGUAGAGCCUGUGCCUAGCAUGCUCAACGUCCCGGGUUCAAUCCCCAGUCCCUCCA
rnacentral:tRNA from 1 species